AUUGAACGCUGGCGGCGUGCCUAACACAUGCAAGUCGAGCGGUAACAGGUGUAGCAAUACAUGCUGACGAGCGGCGGACGGGUGAGUAACGCUUGGGAAUCUGCCUGUUAGUGGGGACAACCCGGGAACUCGGGCUAAUACCGCAUACGCACUACGGUGGAAAGCCGGGGACCGCAAGGCCUGGCGCUAACAGAUGAGCCCAAGUCGGAUUAGCUAGUUGGUAGGGUAACGGCCACCAAGGCGACGAUCCGUAACUGGUCUGAGAGGACGACCAGUCACACCGGAACUGAGACACGGUCCGGACUCCUACGGGAGGCAGCAGGUGGGGAAUAAUUGGACAAUGGGACGAAAGCCUGAUCCAGCGACGCCGCGU
rnacentral:rRNA from 1 species